GCCAGGCCUGUGAGCCCGCCAGCCCUUCCUGCUCGGGUCCCGGGAGGCCAAAGGGCUCCCCCCACCCAAGGCAGGAGCGACCCUGAUCCUCCCAAGGUUUUACAGUUGGUAGUGGCCGAGCCGGCACUGGAACCCAGUCUGUGUGAUUCCAGAGCUCCUGAAUGUAGCCGCGGGACUGUGGCGCCUCCUCAUUAUGGAGGCGUCAGAAACCGACAAUUGUCAGCACAGCAAUAUUGGGCAUUUCUCUCCCAGUUGAGCCUUGUAGCUGACUACAUGGCU